rnacentral:rRNA from 1 species
AUUGAACGCUGGCGGCAGGCCUAACACAUGCAAGUCGAGCGAGCGGCGGACGGGUGAGUAAUGUAUGGGGUCUGCCCGCUCGAGGGGGAUAACUACUGGAAACGGUGGCUAAUACCGCAUACUGUCGGAUAACCCAUAUGGGAUUAGCUAGUAGGUAAGGUAAUGGCUGACCUCGGCGACGAUCCCUAGCUGGUCUGAGAGGAUGAUCAGCCACACUGGGACUGGGACAGGGCCCAGAGUCCUAGGGAGGCAGCAGUGGGAAAUAUGGCACAGAGGGCGCAAGUCUGAUGCAGCCAUGCGGCGGGUAUGAAGAAGGCCUUAGGGUUGUAAAGUACUUUCAGGCGGUAGGCGUUACCGACAAAAGGAGCGCCGGCUAACUCCGUGCCAGCAGCCGCGGUAAUUC